AAUAGAUACCCGGGUAGUCCACGCCGUAAACGAUGAGUGCUAAGUGUUAGGGGGUUUCCGCCCCUUAGUGCUGCAGCUAACGCAUUAAGCACUCCGCCUGGGGAGUACGGUCGCAAGACUGAAACUCAAAGGAAUUGACGGGGGCCCGCACAAGCGGUGGAGCAUGUGGUUUAAUUCGAAGCAACGCGAAGAACCUUACCAGGUCUUGACAUCCCGUUGACCACUGUAGAGAUAUAGUUUCCCCUUCGGGGGCAACGGUGACAGGUGGUGCAUGGUUGUCGUCAGCUCGUGUCGUGAGAUGUUGGGUUAAGUCCCGCAACGAGCGCAACCCUUGAUCUUAGUUGCCAUCAUUUAGUUGGGCACUCUAAGGUGACUGCCGGUGACAAACCGGAGGAAGGUGGGGAUGACGUCAAAUCAUCAUGCCCCUUAUGACCUGGGCUACACACGUGCUACAAUGGACGAUACAAACGGUUGCCAACUCGCGAGAGGGAGCUAAUCCGAUAAAGUCGUUCUCAGUUCGGAUUGUAGGCUGCAACUCGCUA
rnacentral:rRNA from 1 species